UACAGAGGGUGCGAGCGUUAAUCGGAAUUACUGGGCGUAAAGCGUGCGUAGACGGUUAUUUAAGUCGGGUGUGAAAGCCCCGGGCUCAACCUGGGAAUUGCAUUCGAGACUGAAUAGCUAGGGUACGGUAGAGGGAAGCGGAAUUUCCGGUGUAGCGGUGAAAUGCGUAGAUAUCUGGAGGAAUACCGGUGGCGAAGGCGGCAUCCUGGACCGAGAUUGACGCUGAUGAGCGAAAGCUAGGGGAGCAAACGGG
rnacentral:rRNA from 1 species